UCUUCUUCUUCUUAUUCGUCUUCUUCGUCGUCCUUUUUUUCUUUUUCUUCCUGGCAUGUACCUGGAAUCUAUUUUUUAUAUCCAUAGAGUAAAUUCCACCAACCUCCUAUGAAACUACAAUGAAUUAAGCUAAACCAAAAAUAAACUCACUUCCCUUGUCAAAGUUUGUUCGUUAAGGCAUGAUUUGUUCUUUCUUUUUUUUUAGUGGAGAAUUAGCAAAAGUUAUCAUCACGGGUAAAGGCUAUUAUUCCUUGAGCCCAUCUCUCUCCUCUCCAUUUCUCUGUUCUCUCUUUUCUGUGUCUUAGAACCUCCCCCAUCACUUCCAUCUCUUCUUCCCAUCUCUAUCUCUGCCCUUUUCCAGUUUCAUUUCUCUCUCUACGCUCUGUCCCUCUGCUCUGCUUGUAUCCACCUCACUCUUCUCUACCUUCUUCAUCGUUUAUCUCUUCACCAUAUCACCGUCACCACCACAAUCACCACUUUCUCUUCCUCAAACUCCAAAGCCCCCCAAAUUCGUGAUCACCAUUCAUGCAUCCUAAGAACACAUAUAUGCUAGUUGGUCAAUAACGCUGGAUGGGAACCUGGAAAAAAAUCACCUUCUCUCUCCUAUGGUCUUUGGUCUCUAUUAUUGUAUUACACUACUAAAUUCUGGUAUUUUGACAAAACUGAAUUAAUGAUGGGAAAUGAAAAUUGUUUCAAUGUUUUUAGCAAUUGGAGUAAUUGUUGUGUUAACCACCAUCUUCUCUAAAAGCUUAAAUUGUUAGAGAGGGUGGUGUAACUUCAAUAUUUGAAUCCUUCAAUACGCCCCUUCAUGUGUGGCCUUCUUUUGGUCCAACACCUAUUUUUCAAUUUUUUAAUUAGGGUGUUGGUGAGGUUUGAACUUAUUGAAGAUUUAAUGGAGGAAUCAGGUGAGGAAAAUCCUCUAGUAAUUGAAGUAGUUUCCUACUAUUGAAGAUUUGUUGUUAUUAGAGGAUUCGGUGGAGAAAAAUCCUCCUUGUUUCUUAUUUUCUAUCCCUUUCCAUUCUCAUAAUUUAUUCUCCUACAUAGAGGGGCAUCCACCAUUGUAUUGUGUAUGAGUUGAGGGCGUAUUAAGCCCUAGUGGCUGAACCGCGUAAUAUCUUUGUGUUUUUCUUGUUUAAUUUCUCUUUACAUAUAUUUCAAGCUUUACAACAAAACUUGAUACCUUUGGCUAUGGUACCAUGUUAACAACCAUCUACUCUAAUAGCUUAAGCUGUUAGAGAGGGUGUAACUUUAAUAUUUAAAUCCUUCAACCGUUGCAUUGUAAUUCAAAACAAGAAAUCUAAGAAACCCAACAGGAUGAACCGUAAACGGAAGAGAAAAAGAAAAAGAAAAAGAAAUUAAAGAGAAAAAUGAUGUUUAAAUUUGGAUAUAUGAUUGGAAAUCAAAGAGAAAAUUCAAUUUCUUGCCUUCUAUCUCCCUUUUUUUUUUUUUUUUGGUUUUUGAUAAGUAAGAAUUCAUUAAAGGCGCUCAAAGGGGGAGGGCUCCCAAGAGAAUACACAAGGCGCCCGAGGCUGCCACUAUAAUUUCAAGCUAUCCACAAAACCCAAAAGAAUAAAGUAGACAAAAUAUUGUAUUCAAGAGACCAAAUGGGAGUUUUCUCCAUCAAAGGAUCUCGCAUUCCUCUCGCGCUACAAGCCCCACCAUAAACAAAGGGGAGUGGCCCUCCGUGCAUCUGUGUCUCGGCUCUCCACUAUACACCCUCUCCAAGCCUCAAUCAUGUCCACCGUAGAACCUGAAAACACCCAAAAAAUGCCAAACUCUACUAAGAACAUAGACCACACGUCUCUACCACUAGGCAAUGAAGAAGGAGGUGGUUCAUUGUUUCUUCCGUCUGCUUGUAAAUACAGCACCAGUUCACCACAAUUUGUCGUCUCCUUCUAAUGUUGUCAAGAGUGAGAAUACUUCCGAGGGCAGCUGUCCAAGCAAAAAAAAGGCCGCCUUCAACGGAGCUUUGGACUUCCAAAUUUCCUUCCAAGGAAAGGAAGGACCUGGAAUCUCAGUUAGGCUCUGAUAGAAGGACCUAACCUCAAAAGCUCCUCUCUAGGAACACACCCACACCAUCUCAUCCAUCCCCUUACCCUCCACCACCUAUUUGUAUAGUAAAGAUAGGAAAUCAGUGACCUUGGUAAGCUCCCAAUCAUGAAAAUAUCUGCGAAACUGCACGUCCCAAAUCAACCUCCCAUUAUCUAGCCGAUAACAGUCAAAAACCCGAGCGUUUGUUUGUGGAAAUUCUGAAGUGCUGAGGAAUCCUAUGAGCCAAAACGAAUGAACCAACAAACAGGAUGAUUUUUGAACCGCCAUUUUGCUCAACAUAUAUUUUUUUUUAUAUUAUUAUUAUUAUUAUUAAGGUCAAGUAAACAACUCACACGCCAACUCAAUGUUGUCCCACUUGAUGCUUGAAUCCCUCACCUUCUGUUGGGGAGGAGAGUUUAUAGUGUUAUACCACCUAAGCCAAUGGCCCAAUGGUAACCCCUAUUGCUUUUUCAAUCAUCGGUGCCCUGAAAACACAAACACACACUCCACCCGCCCACCUCCUCUUCCUCCUCCUCCUCGAACAUGGGUGAAUUCGCCCAUGCCUUCUGGUUUCUUCUUAUUACACAAAUUUGGCUAAUCUGCUGUUAGUGCUUGUACCCAAAUUUCUAUCAGUCUCAAGAGUCUAGAUUCUAGAAAUAGAAUUACACUAAUGACAAGUUAGGGUUUGAAGAGAAAAGAAAGAAGAAGAAGAGAAAAAGGAGUAUAAGGAAGGGUUGUAGAAGAUUUUGACAUCUCUACACCCUUGUGUUUAUAUUAGUCAAAAAUAUAAUUUACAAUAAUAACCCCACGUGACAAAAUCCCACUAAUUAUUCACUACAUAAAUAUUCCAACAAGGUCGGGCAGGCCAGUUCCCUAUUAAAUGCCCUAUUGUGAAACUUCCAUCCUUUCUUUAGAUUUUCUUCUAUUUAAUUGCAAGCAACAAUAAUGAAACAUAUACUUCCUCCCCUUUCCCUCUUGGAUGGUAUAUAUUAUUUAGGAAUCGUCCUUAUUUAUGGUGGUUGAUGGUUGGGAUGGUGAAAGACCUUGUGAUGCUUGAUAUAGGUUUUUAGGUGAUGGCUAGGGCAUUCCCUUUAAGUGACAUGGUGCAUCAGCUUUCGGAUGCUUCGAAAAGUGGGCUAAGGGUAUCGCAUAAGCAUUCGGAUGUUGUAAAAAGUAGUCAAGGUUCUCGCAUUUUUCUGGACAUGUGCAAGUAAAGAAGUUAGCCCGAGAUAGUAAGCUUGGGAUAGGGACUUGGAUUAUAGAAACAUUGAUAGGUAAAGAAAUGGACUUGGUAGACACUGGGAAUUUGUUGCUAGUAAAAAACAUGUUUGGUGUUCGGUGAUACAUUAUAUAAAGAUCUUUUCACAUUUAAAAUACUUUUAUGUUAUUUCUUACUUAUCAAAAAAAAAAAAAAAAAAAGUACUUUUAAAUUUGUUUGGUAACUGUUGAGGGAUUUAAAUAUUUAAGUUACACCCUCUCCAACAACUUAAGCUCUUAAAGUAGAUGGUAGUUAACAUGGUAUUAGAGUAGGCAGGUCCUGUGUUUGAACCUCACCAUCGCCUUGAUUUAAAAAUUGAAACACGUGUUGGACCAAAAAGAAAGCCACACGUGAGGGGCCGUGUUGAGGUAUUUAAAUAUUGAAGUUACACCGUCUAAUAGCUUAAGUUUUUAAAGUAGAUGGUAGUUAACAGUAACAAUAUUUUCUAAAGCACUUCUAUUGCUAAUUUUACAAUAAUGUCUGUUGAAGGUAUAAAUAUUAAAGUUUCACCCUCUCUAUCAACUUAAGCUUUUAGAGUAGAUGGGUAGUUAAUAUGGUAUCAGAGCUAAAGGUCUCGGGUUCAAACCUCACCGUUAUCCUAAUUAAAAAUUGAAAAGCACGUGUAGGACCAAAAGAAGGCCACACGUGAGGAGGCGUGUUGAAGGUAUAAAUAUUAUGGGUAGUUAACAAUGUCCUUUAAAAGAUUGUUACUAUAUUUGAUAAUAGCAAAUUUAUAAAAGAGGUUAAAUUAUCUUUAUAAAAAAUAAAAAUGGAUAAAAUUGUCCAAGAAAAAAUAGUUACGUAAAAUAUAGAACCUCUACUCAACACAAUUUUAAAAGUUAGAAAUUUUAGCUUCAUUCAAAAGCUUUAUUAAGCUAUAAUUGGUAAUCAUUAAAAGUGCUUUUAAUGGUUAUCAAACACAUUCAAACACUAUUUUUUAAAUAAAGCGCUUUUAUGCUGUUGAAAAGCAAUCCCAAAUGGUUUCUAAGUGGGCAGGUGCAAAAUUUAGAGAAAUUGAAGGAUUUAUCUUGACUAAACCAAAAAUGAUAGAUAUAAAAAUGGAGUAGGGAUAGUAAUUGGUAAGAAUUUAAAAGAAAAUGUUGUAACCGUUAUUAGAAGAGUUGAUAGGAUAAUAUUAGUAACACUUAUAUUAGGAGUAAAUAUAGUUGAUGCUUAUGCACCCUAAAUAUGAUUAGACGAACACAUUAAAACACAAAUUUGGGAACAUAUGGUUGAAUUAAUUCAAGGGAUACCCAAAGCAAAAAAAUUAUACAUCGAAGGGAACUUUACUGAUCAUGUUGGAAAAGAUUGUGAAGGCUAUGAGAGGUGGACACAGAUUUGGAUGUAGAAAAUGAUGCUGGAGAUGUUAUAUUGGAUUUUGCAGUAACAUAUAAUCUUGUAAUUAGGAAUACCUAUUUUAAAGAGAGAGAUAAACAUUACUAACAACAUAGGCUAUUUGUUUUAGAUGUAUAUAUAGAAGGACAAUUUAAAAGGAGAAACAGAAUUGUAAACCCAAGAACUGGGUGGUGGAAUUUAAGAGAGAAUAAAGUAGAAUUAUUUAAGAACAGGGUGUGAAAAGAAGCAAGGCGGAGUCUAGAAGAUGAAACAAACAUAAUUUAGAAUAAGAUGGCAAAAUAUGUCCUAGGUGAAUCAAACAGGACCUUAUUCAAGGAAACUUGGUGAUGGAAUGAACAAGUCCAAAACAUCAUUUUUUUUUUUAAUUAUAAAAAAAUAAAAAAUAAUUAAAAAAAAGUGCUAUAAAGCUUUGCAAAAAAUUAGAAAUAGGGAAACUUUUGAAAAAUAGAAAAUCUCAAUAAAGAAGUAAAAAAGUAUCAAGUGAAGCAAAAUAUAGAGCAUAUGAUGAUCUCAUUUAUAUUCUAGGAGAAGAAUAUAUAUAAACUUGUUAUACUAAGGGAGUGGAAAACUAGAUAUUUUAGCUAUAUUAAAUGCAUCAAGAAUGCUUAUUUAAGGGUUUUAGUAAGAAAUGAUGAAAUUAAAGAAAGAGGUUUUAAGAAAUUGUUAAAUGAAAAUCAUUUAGGAAGUUCAGGUUUAGAAGAAUAUAGUAACCUUAGAGAUAGCAUAUGUUUUUUUUAGGGUCAAGAAGUGUGAGGUUAAAAUGAAUUAAGGAAAAUGAAAUGAGAAAGUGAUUUAGGGCCCGAUGGUGUUCCUAUUGAUGUUUGGAAGUGUUCAGGGGAGGAUGGCUUGUCUUGGUUAACAAAAUUGUUUAAUAAGAUAAUAACAACUAAGAGAAUGCCUGAUGAGUGGCACAAUAGUAUUUUAAUGCUUAUAUUUAGAAAGAUAUGGGACAGACAAAGUUGUAAUAAUUAUCGUGGAACCGAAUUACUGAGUCAUACAUGAAACUUUGGGGGGGAGUGAUUGAACAAUGGUUAACCCUGAAAACUGAAGUGUUGGAAAAUUAGUUCAUACCGGGUAGGUCAACUAUGGAGGUUAUUUACUUAUUAAGGAAACUAAUGGAAAGAUAUAAACAGAAGAAGAAACAUCUCCAUAUGAUUUUAUUGAUUUAUAAAAAGCCUAUGAUAGGAAUCCUAGAAAUCUAAUAUGGAGAGCUUUAGAAAAGAAAAGAGUCACAAAGGGAUAUGUUGACACAAUAAAGGACACUUGUGAUGAUGUAUGACUAUAGAGAAAACAGAUGUAGGAAAAACAAGUGGAAGUUUAAUUGUUGUAUACUUACAUCAAGGGUCAUCCAUAUAUGAUAUCGUUUGCCUUGUUAUGGAUGAGCUGACAAGACACAUUCAAGAUGAGAUUCCAUGGUGUAUGUUAUUUGCUAACGACAUUGUUUUAAUUGAUGAGACUAGAAAAUGAGUCAAUGUCAAACUGGAGGUUUGGAGGGAACAUAUAAAAUUAGAAAGUUGUAAGAUAAGUAGAAAUAAAACUUAAUAUAUGGAGUGCAACUUUAGUAAAUCUAAAAUACAAAUGAGGAUAUAGUGCAGAUUGAGAAUCAAGAGGUACAAAAAAGGUAACGUUUUCAUUAUUAAGGCUCAAUUAUCCAUAAUGAAGGGGAAACUAAAGAAGAUGUUAAUCAUAGAUUCAAGCCAGGAUAGGUUAAAUUGAGAAGUGCAUCUAGUAUAUCGUAUGAUCAGCGUAUGCUGUUAAGAUUGAAAGAAGUUCUAUAAAACAGCUAUUAGACCAGGCAUACUAUGGGAUAGAAUGUUGGGCACAGAAGCAUAAAGUGAAUAUGAGGAAAUGCAAAUGUUGAAAUGGAUGUGCGGCAAGACGAAAAAGGAUAGAAUUAAAAUGAACACAUUUGUGAGAUGGUUGAACUAGCACCAAUUGAAGAUAAAAUGAGAGAAAAUCAGUUAUGAUGGUUUGGAUAUGUGCAUAGAAAACCUUUAGGCCCGUCAGUUAGGAAGAGUGACAUGAUCCAUAUGAAGUGUAAUGCUAGGGGAAAGGGAAGAAAAGAGUUAACGUGGGAGACUUAGUAAGGAAGGAUAUGGUAACAUGUGGCUCGACUAGAACUAUUGCCUUAGAUGGAGUGGAAUGGAAGAAUCAGAUCCAUGUAGCUGACCCAAGUAGUUGGGAAAGGCUUUGUUGUUUCAUGUUUAUUAUUGUUGUUGGGUUGCAUUAUAGCAGUUUGUGUACCGGCAAUUCGAUAUACUUUGUUGGUUCAAUUUUAUAACAGUUUAAACUUUUAGAGCAAUUGGUAUUCUAACAUGGUAUCAGAGCCUUAAUUCUUGGAGGUCUUGGAUUCAAGUCUCCAUCUCUACGUUUGUCCUACCGUUUGAUACAUUGGACGUUUGCACAUUUGAUAGAAUUUGAACAAGUCUAUUGAAUUUCAAAUGAGUUGAUUUGAUUUUUGAUAUUAUUCGAAUGGUUUAGUUGUAUUCCUGACUAAACCUUUGCUCAUAGUUGUUAAAGGCGCCGAAGGCGCCAUCUCAGCGCCUUUAGUGACUUAAGGCGCAGGGAGUAAAGAAGGCGUGCGCCUUUACCAAACAGGCGCCAGGCUACAGGCGUCCCAAAGGCGCGCCUGCUUGCAAAAUGCAAUUUUUUUUAUUGGUUUAGUUCUGUUUGUUUAUUUUUUUUAUGUAUUGUUAUAUUAUCAUUAUUUAUAUUAUAUUAUUUUAUUAGUUAAUUGAAUAGAAAACCUACAAGUUACAUUGUUACAACAUAAAAAACAAAAAAAGAAAAGAGAACAAAAAGCAAAGGAAAGAAGACAGACUCGACAGAGGCAGCGACGACUUGGACUCUCGGUCUCGGAAGUCAGAUCUGCCGGAUUUGUGUCGGAUCUGCGUCUGCGACUCUGCCGUAAAAAGAUCGUUGUUUGUGUUUUGUAUAUACAAUUUUGUGCAUGUGGGUAUCAGAAAGAUGUUGGACUUUAAGGUGAAGACAAAAUUUGAUCUUUCUCCAUCAUACAUAACCUUCUGCAUGAUUUUGGGCACAAUAAGAUUAAUGCAAGUAGACACUUUGAAUUGGUAAUAAUGACAGCAAAAUGCAGUAACAUUAUAAUUGGACUUUACUUGGUUUUGGCAUCUUUAUAAUUGGACUUUACUUGGUAAUAAUGACAGCAAAAUGCAGUAACAUUAUGAUUUUGGGCACAAUAAGAUUAAUGCAGGUAGACACUUUGAAUUGGACUUUACUUGGUUUUGGCAUCUUUAUGUUGAAUAUUUAACUUAAGUAAUUCAUUUAGUUGACUUUUACAUCUUUAUAUAUACUAUUGCAUCUUUAAUACUUUAUUGGGUGGGUUUUGUUUUUUUUUUUUUUCAA